GGACGCUCGAAGUGACGUGAACGACUGUUAUGUAUUAUGACCUUGAACGAGCUUGUUGCAGUCCGGUAUCGAUUGCCCACUAUUGUAUUCUUCGCGUUCCACGUUCCUGGGUGUCUGUUUCGCAGUAUGCCAGCUAUUUUGUGUUCGCAUUUUAAAGGGUCUCGUCCCGUUAGAUUUGUCGUCGUAGCAUAUGUAUUGUACAGAGG
rnacentral:misc_RNA from 1 species